UCCAUAGUAGUGCUCUGAAAGCAACCCCACCCCCCUCAAGUACACGUCCAAUUCAAUCGAACCUUCAAAUCCAAGUUUAUUGAAGACUUGAUUCUGCUAUUUGUCACAAUAACCAAGUAAAGCUUUGGAGACAUCGGAAAUGUCGGGACGCGGAAAGGGAGGCAAGGGGCUGGGAAAGGGAGGCGCAAAACAGCACCGCAAGGACCUCCGAGACAACAUCCAGGGGAUCACGAAGCCGGUCAUCAGGAGGCUGGCUUGCAAGGGAGGAGUGAAGCACAUCAAGAUCUUCUUGGAGAACGUGAUCCAUGACGCGGUGACGUACACGGAGCACACGAAAAUCAGCAAGUUUACUCCCCCUUUUCCCUCAUCUUCCUCCUUUACAUCAUCACUUUUUAUCGACGCGAAAAUCGCUGCCUCGCUACAACCACACCAACUCAAUUCCUCGAUAAGAGAGGCUUACUUGAUAUUCUCUCUGUUUUUAUGGCAUAUUCAAAAGAAAAUGUUAUACUCUGCAAUCAUUUAUGUGCUUUGUUUGUGUUUCAUGUAAACAAGGUGACGGUGUAUUGACAGCAAUGUAUGCUAUAGUUUAUAGUUCAAUCGGUCAUCGGACACUGCAUCUUAACAAGUGAGUUUUAUUUUUCUAAGUCUUUUGAUUAAUUUUUGAUUUACCAAAAAAAUCCUGUUGAUUGCUUCUUUUUAUACAACUUUGAUUGUUGAAA